UACGUAGGGGGCUAGCGUUGUCCGGAAUCAUUGGGCGUAAAGAGCGUGUAGGCGGUCCGAUAAGUCCGCUGUGAAAGUCGAAGGCUCAACCCUCGAAUGCCGGUGGAUACUGUCGGGCUAGAGUGCGGAAGAGGCGAGUGGAAUUCCUGGUGUAGCGGUGAAAUGCGCAGAUAUCAGGAAGAACACCCGUGGCUAAGGCGGUUCUCUAGUACGGUACUGACGCUGAGACGCGAAAGCGUGGGGAGCGAACAGG
rnacentral:rRNA from 1 species